rnacentral:lncRNA from 1 species
CCCUCGUGACCUCAUGAUUUUGACCUCGUUUUUUCCCCCCGAGUUCCUAGUUGUCUUGAAGGCUUCAUGACCAUCGGAUGCCGGACAAUGAGUCAUGUUUAAAAUAUUAAAUCUGAGCCUAAAUCUCGGCUUACUUUUUGACUCCAAAAAGGUUUGUAAUGUGGCUGCUAUGACAGUGGUCAUGCUGUUUGUAUGAUGGCUGCUAUGACAGUGAUCAUGCUGUUUGUAUGUGGCUGCUAUGACAGUGGUC